AUAGGGGUGGCUAGCUAGAUUCGAACUUUUAGACCUUUGGUCUAGCAAGGAAAGAGGCGAAAGAGAUUCUGAUACAAUGUAAAGGAACUAAGACUCCAAAAAUAGAUGAGUCAUUGACAUUUCUUUAUGAGUCAAUGAAAGCAUUUUCCAUUGUUUCAAUAAGUCAAAAUCAUAGUCAUUUGUCCCAAUGAUAUGAGAUGUAACAAAGAUAGACACACACACA
rnacentral:misc_RNA from 1 species